CAUUUGGAGGGAAACUUUUCAACUGAAGAAGCAACUGUGGUCUUUGAUCUAGCUUCAGAAUGUUUACAGUAUGAACCUAGAGAGAGGCCAAAUACAAAGGAUCUUGUUGCUACUCUUGCACCACUGCAAAAUAAACCAGAUGUUCCAUCUUAUGUGAUGCUUGGAAUUCCAAAGCAUGAGGAAGCACCGCCUACUCCACAACACCCUCUUUCUCCA
rnacentral:misc_RNA from 1 species